AAUGAACGCUGGCGGCAGGCCUAACACAUGCAAGUCGAACGGGUCCUUCGGGACUAGUGGCGGACGGGUGAGUAACGCGUGGGAACGUGCCCUUUGCUACGGAAUAGCCUCUGGAAACGGAGAGUAAUACCGUAUGUGCCCUUUGGGGGAAAGAUUUAUCGGCAAAGGAUCGGCUCGCGUUGGAUUAGGUAGUUGGUGGGGUAAUGGCCUACCAAGCCGACGAUCCAUAGCUGGUUUGAGAGGAUGAUCAGCCACACUGGGACUGAGACACGGCCCAGACUCCUACGGGAGGCAGCAGUGGGGAAUCUUAGACAAUGGGGGAAACCCUGAUCUAGCCAUGCCGCGUGAUCGAUGAAGGCCUUAGGGUUGUAAAGAUCUUUCAGGUGGGAAGAUAAUGACGGUACCACCAGAAGAAGCCCCGGCUAACUCCGUGCCAGCCGCCGCCGUAACAC
rnacentral:rRNA from 1 species